GACGAACGCUGGCGGCGUGCUUAACACAUGCAAGUCGAACGAAGAGCGAUGGAAGCUUGCUUCUAUCAAUCUUAGUGGCGAACGGGUGAGUAACGCGUAAUCAACCUGCCCUUCAGAGGGGGACAACAGUUGGAAACGACUGCUAAUACCGCAUACGAUCUAACCUCGGCAUCGAGGAAAGAUGAAAGGUGGCCUCUAUGUAUAAGCUAUCACUGAAGGAGGGGAUUGCGUCUGAUUAGCUAGUUGGAGGGGUAACGGCCCACCAAGGCGAUGAUCAGUAGCCGGUCUGAGAGGAUGAACGGCCACAUUGGGACUGAGACACGGCCCAGACUCCUACGGGAGGCAGCAGUGGGGAAUCUUCCGCAAUGGACGAAAGUCUGACGGAGCAACGCCGCGUGAGUGAUGACGGCCUUCGGGUUGUAAAGCUCUGUUAAUCGGGACGAAAGGCCUUCUUGCGAAUAGUGAGAAGGAUUGACGGUACCGGAAUAGAAAGCCACGGCUAACUACGAG
rnacentral:rRNA from 1 species